rnacentral:lncRNA from 1 species
UUAGAGUCUGAUAUCCUGGCACCAGAGCUGUGGGGAGAGAAGGGAACAACCUCCAGAGAUGCCUUUCAAACCGGGCACUGGAGUGGUUGGCAGCCCCCGGGGGACUUAGUGCUGAUCGCAGCGUUCUGAGCACCAGAGAAGACUCUACUUGCACUCAGCCACGUGCUUCUAAGAAAAUCGAACAGGUUCCUUAUCACUUCCAGGUAAGAACUGGGUAGGUGGCAUUGCUUCAAAGCAUUUGGAGUUUGCACACACUGCUGUGGAGGUCACAGGAUUCUUGCACUUGACAAGAACAUUUUGGGAGAAGGACCAAGAAAGAAAUUUGAAUCCCUCUGCAGACUUCUCUUCCCAUGAAUGUCAAUCCUAGCCUGAAUGUGACCUGUCCACUCACACUGUUCCCAUGCUGUUAGA